rnacentral:rRNA from 1 species
ACAAGCAGUGGGAGCACAGGUUUACCUGUGUGACUGCGUACCUUUUGUAUAAUGGGUCAGCGACUUAUAUUCUGUAGCAAGGUUAACCGAAUAGGGGAGCCGGAGGGAAACCGAGUCUUAAUUGGGCGUUAAGUUGCAGGGUAUAGACCCGAAACCCGGUGAUCUAGCCAUGGGCAGGUUGAAGGUUGGGUAACACUAACUGGAGGACCGAACCGACUAAUGUUGAAAAAUUAGCGGAUGACCUGUGGCUGGGGGUGAAAGGCCAAUCAAACCGGGAGAUAGCUGGUUCUCCCCGAAAGCUAUUUAGGUAGCGCCUCGUGAAUUCAUCUCCGGGGGUAGAGCACUGUUUCGGCUAGGGGGCCAUCCCGGCUUACCAACCCGAUGCAAACUGCGAAUACCGGAGAAUGUUAUCACGGGAGACACACGGCGGGUGCUAACGUCCGUCGUGAAGAGGGAAACAACCCAGACCGCCAGCUAAGGUCCCAAAGUCAUGGUUAAGUGGGAAACGAUGUGGGAAGGCCCAGACAGCCAGGAUGUUGGCUUAGAAGCAGCCAUCAUUUAAAGAAAGCGUAAUAGCUCACUGGUCGAGUCGGCCUGCGCGGAAGAUGUAACGGGGCUAAACCAUGCACCGAAGCUGCGGCAGCGACGCUGAUGCGUUGUUGGGUAGGGGAGCGUUCUGUAAGCCUGCGAAGGUGGCCUGUGAGGGUUGCUGGAGGUAUCAGAAGUGCGAAUGCUGACAUAAGUAACGAUAAAGCGGGUGAAAAGCCCGCUCGCCGGAAGACCAAGGGUUCCUGUCCAACGUUAAUCGGGGCAGGGUGAGUCGACCCCUAAGGCGAGGCCGAAAGGCGUAGUCGAUGGGAAACGGGUUAAUAUUCCCGUACUUGGUGUUACUGCGAAGGGGGGACGGAGAAGGCUAUGUUGGCCGGGCGACGGUUGUCCCGGUUUAAGCGUGUAGGUGUGUGUUCCAGGUAAAUCCGGUUCACUUUAACACUGAGGCGUGAUGACGAGGCACUACGGUGCUGAAGCAACAAAUGCCCUGCUUCCAGGAAAAGCCUCUAAGCAUCAGGUAACAUCAAAUCGUACCCCAAACCGACACAGGUGGUCAGGUAGAGAAUACCAAGGCGCUUGAGAGAACUCGGGUGAAGGAACUAGGCAAAAUGGUGCCGUAACUUCGGGAGAAGGCACGCUGACACGUAGGUGAAGUGAUUUACUCAUGGAGCUGAAGUCAGUCGAAGAUACCAGCUGGCUGCAACUGUUUAUUAAAAACACAGCACUGUGCAAACACGAAAGUGGACGUAUACGGUGUGACGCCUGCCCGGUGCCGGAAGGUUAAUUGAUGGGGUCAGCGCAAGCGAAGCUCCUGAUCGAAGCCCCGGUAAACGGCGGCCGUAACUAUAACGGUCCUAAGGUAGCGAAAUUCCUUGUCGGGUAAGUUCCGACCUGCACGAAUGGCGUAAUGAUGGCCAGGCUGUCUCCACCCGAGACUCAGUGAAAUUGAACUCGCUGUGAAGAUGCAGUGUACCCGCGGCAAGACGGAAAGACCCCGUGAACCUUUACUAUAGCUUGACACUGAACAUUGAGCCUUGAUGUGUAGGAUAGGUGGGAGGCUUUGAAGUGUGGACGCCAGUCUGCAUGGAGCCGGCCUUGAAAUACCACCCUUUAAUGUUUGAUGUUCUAACGUGGACCCGUGAUCCGGGUUGCGGACAGUGUCUGGUGGGUAGUUUGACUGGGGCGGUCUCCUCCUAAAGAGUAACGGAGGAGCACGAAGGUUGGCUAAUCCUGGUCGGACAUCAGGAGGUUAGUGCAAUGGCAUAAGCCAGCUUGACUGCGAGCGUGACGGCGCGAGCAGGUGCGAAAGCAGGUCAUAGUGAUCCGGUGGUUCUGAAUGGAAGGGCCAUCGCUCAACGGAUAAAAGGUACUCCGGGGAUAACAGGCUGAUACCGCCCAAGAGUUCAUAUCGACGGCGGUGUUUGGCACCUCGAUGUCGGCUCAUCACAUCCUGGGGCUGAAGUAGGUCCCAAGGGUAUGGCUGUUCGCCAUUUAAAGUGGUACGCGAGCUGGGUUUAGAACGUCGUGAGACAGUUCGGUCCCUAUCUGCCGUGGGCGCUGGAGAACUGAGGGGGGCUGCUCCUAGUACGAGAGGACCGGAGUGGACGCAUCACUGGUGUUCGGGUUGUCAUGCCAAUGGCACUGCCCGGUAGCUAAAUGCGGAAGAGAUAAGUGCUGAAAGCAUCUAAGCACGAAACUUGCCCCGA